AUGUAAAAAUUAAUAAACCUGCGGUGUACACUCUUCGAAUCCAACUCGAUCAUCAUAAAAAGUAAUUUGAAAAUUUUAAUUAUUAUGGUAUUGGGUCAAUAUACAAGCCCAUAGAUAAAUAAGUAUUUGGUCCAGACAAGUAAACGGCGACGUAUCACUUUUGUUAUGUCUAAAACCUCUCCCUCAAAAGCUAUAUAAAGUUUGUUAAAUUAUUUAGGGUUGAAUUAGAUCUCUGUAUCAGCCCGCAGGACCUAAUCUCUGCCAAAGGUAAUUGACUAUCGUGGUACGGGUUCCAUCUAUUGUGGUGACACGAAUCUGAUCCCAGUGGUUGGUGGUCACCUCAAAAUCGUUGUCAAUCACACACUCGCAGGAGAGGGACCUGCGAAAAUUCGCAGGAUCAUAACUGACAUUUUAAGCUGGAGACUAGAUAAUCGUACACGAGAAAAUUUUGUACUAAUCCUGGGAAGCAAUAUCUCAGAAUGCCAUCUGUUGGAGUUGGUUUAUACAAAAUGGUCUAUGUCAGGUCGCAAUAUUGUCUUGGAAUUGACUCUGCUGGUGGAGGCUCGCAAAUUGAGCCAUCUGAAAGCUCACAACUUAAGCGAAAGGACCCACCAACUUAAGCUUCUGCAAUGAGAGUUUCGGUUCUUUUUCUUUAAACUCUAGUGCGACUAUUUCCUGAUCUCAUAGGAUCAUCCCUUCAUAUUGCAACAUUUUUCUUAAAAUAAAUACAUGAUGUAAAGAGAGUUGCAGAAAUGACAUAAGAACGUAUAGUCCUGACGUAA